UACGUAGGUGGCAAGCGUUGUCCGGAUUUACUGGGUGUAAAGGGCGUGUAGCCGGGUUGACAAGUCAGAUGUGAAAUCCUGCGGCUUAACCGCAGAACUGCAUUUGAAACUGUUGAUCUUGAGUACUGGAGAGGCAGACGGAAUUCCUAGUGUAGCGGUGAAAUACGUAGAUAUUAGGAGGAACACCAGUGGCGAAGGCGGUCUGCUGGACAGCAACUGACGGUGAGGCGCGAAAGCGUGGGGAGCAAACAGG
rnacentral:rRNA from 1 species